rnacentral:misc_RNA from 1 species
GAAGAGAAAGAAAACCAUAAAUUCAUCACUAAAAUGGAGGAUUAACAUAUACAAAUUUAAAGAUUUUUUUUUUUCUUCCUUUUCUUCCUCUUUCCAGCCCUCUCAAGUUUUCUCAGCAACAUUUCCUUUUUAUAGGGAAAUAUUACUUUCUUUUCUCAACUAAUGCCAUGCUUAGGUAUGGCUUAUUUCUUUACUUGUCCACAUAGAGUUUUACCUACUAAAUCUCAUCAACUCCAACAGGAAGCCAUGAUAGAGAGGUCCAUAAGAGCUCUGCUCCCCAAUUCUACAUUGAUGCUUCUCUCUGCAGAAAUAGAAUCAUCUAUCUGUUUCACCAAGUUGUCACCCGUGUGCAAGUCUAUUCGCCCAUCC